AAGUCGUAACAAGGUCUCCGUAGGUGAACCUGCGGAGGGAUCAUUACCCGAGUGAGGGGCUCCGGCCCGACCUCCAACCCAUUCUGUCGAUCCGUAACCGUCUGUUGCCCUCGGGGCGACCGGCCCUCGCGUCGGGACCCGCCCGGUGGCACCCAACCAACUCCUGCGUCAAUUUGCGUCUGAGUGUGAAGGGAAAUCAAUCAAAACUUUCAACAACGGAUCUCUUGGUUCGGGCAUCGAUGAAGAACGCAGCGAAAUGCGAUAAGUAAUGUGAAUUGCAGAAUUCAGUGAAUCAUCGAAUCUUUGAACGCACAUUGCGCCCUCUGGUAUUCCGGGGGGCACGCCUGUUCGAGCGUCAUUACACCACUCAAGCCUGGCUUGGUAUUGGGCGAAGCGGGUGGUCACGACCACCCGCGCCUCAAAUCUCCGGCGGGACGAACGUAGUGCCCUAGCGUUGUGGAAACCCAAUUCGCUUCGGGAAACUCGUUUGUCGGGCCGUUAAACGAUUUUUUAUCUCAGGUUGACCUCGGAUCAGGUGGGGAUACCCGCUGAACUUAA
rnacentral:rRNA from 1 species